GACGAACGCUGGCGGCGUGCUUAACACAUGCAAGUCGAACGGAAAGGCCCUGCUUUUGUGGGGUGCUCGAGUGGCGAACGGGUGAGUAACACGUGAGUAACCUGCCCUUGACUUUGGGAUAACUUCAGGAAACUGGGGCUAAUACCGGAUAGGAGCUCCUGCUGCAUGGUGGGGGUUGGACAGUUUCGGCGGUUGGGGAUGGACUCGCGGCUUAUCAGCUUGUUGGUGGGGUAGUGGCUUACCAAGGCUUUGACGGGUAGCCGGCCUGAGAGGGUGACCGGCCACAUUGGGACUGAGGUAGGGCCCAGACGCCUACGGGAGGCAGCAGUGGGGAAUAUUGCACAAUGGGCGGAAGCCUGAUGCAGCAACGCCGCGUGCGGGAUGACGGCCUUCGGGUUGUAAACCGCUUUCGCCUGUGACGAAGCGUGAGUGACGGUAAUGGGUAAAGAAGCACCGGCUAACUACGUG
rnacentral:rRNA from 1 species